rnacentral:rRNA from 1 species
UACGAAGGGGGCGAGCGUUGUCCGGAAUUACUGGGCGUAAAGAGCUCGUAGGUGGUUUGUCGCGUUGUUCGUGAAAUCUCACGGCUUAACUGUGAGCGUGCGGGCGAUACGGGCAGACUGGAGUACUGCAGGGGAGACUGGAAUUCCUGGUGUAGCGGUGGAAUGCGCAGAUAUCAGGAGGAACACCGGUGGCGAAGGCGGGUCUCUGGGCAGUAACUGACGCUGAGGAGCGAAAGCGUGGGGAGCGAACAGG